rnacentral:rRNA from 1 species
UACGUAGGGUGCGAGCGUUGUCCGGAAUUACUGGGCGUAAAGAGCUCGUAGGUGGUUUGUCGCGUUGUUCGUGAAAACUCACAGCUCAACUGUGGGCGUGCGGGCGAUACGGGCAGGCUAGAGUUCGGUAGGGGAGACUGGAAUUCCUGGUGUAGCGGUGAAAUGCGCAGAGUAUCAGGAGGAACACCGGUGGCGAAGGCGGGUCUCUGGGCCGAUACUGACGCUGAGGAGCGAAAGCGUGGGGAGCGAACAGGA